rnacentral:tRNA from 1 species
UACUUCUAUAGGAAAGUAGUAUCCGCUGGUUU